CCUCCCGCCCAGACCCGCCCCGCCUCCCGCCCAGGCCCGCCCCGCCUCCCGCCCAGGCCCGCCCCGCCUCUUCAGCACUAGCCUCGGUCCCGCCUCUUCCGCUAGGAGUUCCCGCCUCUCGGCCGCGCCUGGUCGGGGGGCGGGGCAUCGGCCAGCCGUGACGUCACUGCCGGCUGGACGCCAUCUUGCUGGUUUGCGGCCGGUGUUGGAUGUGGCGGCAGUGGUGGUGAGGGCGUGGGGAAGGGUGGGGUGAGGGGGCGAGGCCGCGGCGGGGGCGGCGAAAGUCUCCUCCGCUCAGCCCCACCGCGUGGGACGGCGCAAACGCGGUGCCGGAGGGAUGUCCGCUUUCUCCGAGGCGGCGCUGGAGAAGAAGCUGUCGGAGUUGAGCAACUCGCAGCAGAGCGUGCAGACCUUGUCCCUGUGGCUCAUCCACCAUCGCAAGCACUCGCGACCCAUCGUCACCGUGUGGGAGCGGGAGCUGCGGAAAGUGAAACUGAUGAAAGUUGUAAGAAGCACCUUGGAAGAGUGCUGUCUAUUUGGGAAGAAAGGUCUGUGUAUGAAAAUGAUGUAUUAGAACAACUUAAGCAAGCUCUGUAUGGUGACAAGAAGCCCAGGAAGCGAACGUAUGAGCAGAUAAAGGUGGAUGAGAAUGAAAACUGUUCCUCUCUAGGAUCUCCAAGUGAACCACCACAGACUCUAGAUCUCGUUAGAGCAUUGCAAGAUCUAGAAAAUGCAGCUUCUGGUGAUGCAGCAGUUCAUCAAAGGAUAGCUUCUUUGCCUGUUGAAGUUCAAGAAGUGUCCCUUCUAGAUAAAAUAACAGAUAAAGAGUCUGGAGAAAGACUUUCUAAAAUGGUAGAGGAUGCUUGUAUGUUGCUGGCAGACUACAACGGCAGAUUGGCGGCUGAAAUAGAUGAUAGGAAGCAGCUCACUCGAAUGUUAGCAGAUUUUCUUCGUUGUCAAAAGGAAGCCCUUGCAGAGAAAGAGCAUAAAUUGGAAGAAUACAAGCGCAAGUUAGCCAGAGUUUCCCUGGUGCGCAAAGAACUCAGGUCCCGGAUCCAGAGCCUGCCGGACUUAUCUCGAUUGCCCAAUGUCACUGGCAGCCACAUGCACCUGCCCUUUGCGGGGGAUAUCUACAGUGAAGAUUGAUGACCAGUCUCUUUCCAGGGCCCAGGACUUUGCAAGAGAUGGAGACAGGUUAGGUGGAUAGUGCUGUAGUGUUAUUUUUGUAUAUUGUUGAGAGUGACAUUAACAAAAAGAAAUGACAGGUAAUUUAUAAAAUUGUUUAAAAUGUUGGUUUGUUUACUAUUUUAUUGGUAAGUUAACAUGACUUAGUUUAAACAAAGUGAAUCUCUAUGUGUAUUAAGCUCACAAGUAGUGAUUAUUUUCAAAAGAUCUUUUUGUAAAUUUUUUUGAUCCAGGGCCUUGUGAGAAAUUUCCAUGUUUCUAUUUCUUCAUGUAUUUUCAAAUGUUUUUCUUUAUUUUCUUCAGUAUCUAAUCAGUGUAUAGUAUGUGAUUCCUAAAGGGUAAGAACUAAUCAGGUUGGUUGAGACUUUAUUAUGGUAUAGUUAGGACUUGAUUGUAGAAGGGACUAGGUGUUCCAACUUGAUUUUCACCCUUCUCCUCAACCAAAACAUCAGUUCUGUGCCUCUCAACACCUUAGAUUCCUUAUUCCCCAGAGGUCGGUCAUUUAAUACUAAACAUGGAUGUUGUUUUGAGGGUCAGAUCAGAACCUGGAGAACCUUUCCACAACAGGGGUUCUGUCCAACAGCCACAGUGUAGGAUAAAAGGAGUGUUAUAUAGGGACCCCUUGAUUAAAAGCUGUUUAGAGUUAUUUAGGUAGAUAGCUAUGAAAAUGCUUUUGGAAAUGUUUAAAAAAAAUUUGACAUUGUACCAAGAGAACAACUCUGAUUCUGGAAUCUCUGUUUGUCAAAUCAAGCUCCUUUUAACAUAAUUGAUCCCUUUAACAUAAAAAGCCAUCUGUGGGAUUAAAA
rnacentral:lncRNA from 1 species